rnacentral:rRNA from 1 species
UACGAAGGGGGCGAGCGUUGUUCGGAUUUACUGGGCGUAAAGGGCGCGCAGGCGGUUCUGUUUGUCGAGUGUGAAAGCCCCGGCUCAACCUGGGAACUGCGCUCGAAACGGCGGAACUAGAGUUCGGGAGAGGAGAGUGGAAUUCCCAGUGUAGAGGUCGAAAUUCGUAGAUAUUGGGAAGAACACCGGUGGCGAAGGCGGCUCUC